rnacentral:lncRNA from 1 species
AGCUUAAGGUGCUUGACUAAAUUAACCUAUUCUUAUUACAUCAUGCUUCAAGGCAAGGAGGUGCUAUUUUGGUAGACCACCUGGAAAUAGCCAACAUUGAUGUUAUCUAUGGCUCCUCCGGAGAAGGUGCAGCAUUAGAGGCUGAGUUCAAAAUAUCCUUGAAUGCUUACCUGAAAGAGCUGGUAGCAUCCCCAGUAAGAACUUUGGCUGAUGUGAUAGCCUUCAACAACAAAUUCUCACAUUUGGUGAGUACAUUCAGGAGGGGUUUUAAUUAUUUACUUGCUGUUCUAGAUUCCGCUAGGAUUGUUAAAACCACAUUCUGAAAAGAUGACUAAUUUAAUUACUUGAGUAACUGCAGGAAAAGAUCAAGGAGUAUGGACAAGAUACCUUUCUGCAGGCCGAAGCCACAAAUGGGAUAAACAAGAAAACUUUGUUAAAAUUAGCAAGAUUGUCACGAAAUGGAUUUGAGAAGUUGAUGAAGGAGCAUAAGCUGGAUGCAUUGGUGACUCCUGGUUCAAAUGUGAGUCCUGUUCUUGCUAUUGGAGGAUUCCCUGGAAUUUCUGUUCCAGCUGGAUAUGAUAGCAAAGGAGUACCAUUUGGCAUUUGUUUUGGGGGCCUAAAGGGCUCUGAGCCAAAGCUAAUCGAGAUUGCAUAUAGCUUCGAGCAAGCAACUAAGAUUAGGAAGCCACCUUCAUUUAAACCUUGAAGGUUUAGAACAACUCCUAUCAGAGUUGUACUACAUGUAUCAGUAUCAAGAACUCUUCUCUCUAGUUGGUAAUCCUGCACUAGAAAGGAUAUUAUAAUAAAGUGCUCAAUGUUUUGAAUGAACUAAGAUGGUACAGAGGCUGGUUUUCUCCAAAUCAUCUAAAUUAUGAAGUUUCCCUCUACCAUUUACUGUUGUGAUUGGUGCCAUUACAGUGCACUACCCUCUGAAUAACCACUCAUUUAUUUGCAAUAAAACAUGCAGAAUUCAUACAUAUAUCCUAUGAUAAAUGUAGAGAUACAUGAGCAAAAAGGAUUAGAUAAAAAUGUAAAACGGGUAUCAAUACUAAGAUAAAAGUAGCUGUAAAUUUGAUUAUCCUUAAAUUGGUUUACACAACUUCUAACAGCAGCCAGCCACUGAAAUUAUUUGUAGUUACUAAUUUUAGAUGUCCUUUUAUGGGCCAAAAAGUUUCAUUAGCCUUUUAUGGGGCAAAAAAUUAGAACGUUCGUUAAAUUAACAAUGAACUUCCACUCCUACGUCUUCCAACUUUUUCUCCUUUUUUCUAGCCUUAUGACUAGCAGUAUCCAUCACCAUCACAGGCCAUGCAUUCUCAAUCAAAGAAGCAACUCUCCAUGUUUUCCAUAAGGCUUUCAAGCAAAAUAAACUCAAUUCAAGGCAGCUGGUUGAGUUCUAUAUUAGUGAAAUUCACAAAUUGAACCCAAUCCUUCAUGGGGGUAGUAGAGGUGAACCCGGACCCACUCCUCCAAGCAGAUAAUGCUGACAGAGAGCAAAAGGCUGGGUCACCCGGCUUGUUGCUUGGGAUGCAGGUGUGAUGAGGAGGUUAAGGCUUGGGCUAUAUAGUGAGGAAUCUCUUCUUUACGUUGAGUGGGGAAGUAACCCAGCCUAACCCCAACUGAUUUUGAUUAUAAAUAAAGUCUUAACUUCCUCUAGAAGUGUAUGCAGUAGCAUCUUCUUUUCAUUUAUGUUCUUCUAGUGACAAAGGUUGAAUCCAUGACGAACAAGGACAUGAAAAAACAAAAUUAUACCUAUAGAAGGAAAAGCUAAAAAAUGUUGCAGAUCAAUUAAUCAUGAGGUGGCUAAUCACAACUUCUGAAGGCCACCAAAUGACUUCUAAUGACCAAUUUUCAGGAGCGAUAAAAAGUUCAAUCAUGACAUAGAUACAAUUCGUCUAGAUGAGUAUUUGGUUUACCUCUUUCCAAAGCUUCAAGGUCACAGAUAUAAUAUGUUUAUAUCAUAUCAUCCAAAAGCCCCACGAAACUAAGGUAUGUUUGAUGACUAUUUUUAAGAAUUAAUUUUUAUUAUUUAGAAUAACAAAAAUAAGAAAACAUGUUUGAUAAUCAGAAAACAAAAGAUAUGAUGUUUUUAGAUAAUACUUUUUAAUUAUUUUUUUAGGACGAUAUUAAAAAAAUAGUUAUACAAAUAGAAAGAAUAAUUAAAAAUAAAGCUCUGUAUAUAAAAAUUAUUUUAAAAACAUAUUUACAAGUAUAAGAAACAAGUUAAGCAUAUUUUAGGUUACGUAAUUAACUUUUGUUUUACAAAAUAUCAAAAAAGGGUUUCAAAAUAUUGUUAUCAGAAGCUAUUUUUAAGAAUUAUUUUUGUGGGAUGGUGGUGACUUAGAGAAAAAAAUCUCACUUGAUGAAUUGGAACUUGGUUUGUACCAAUAAGAAAAAGGGGGGCCUUGUAAUUCAUAGAAUUGUGGAUUUAAACAAAGCCUUACUUAGGAAGUGGACCAGAUCAAUUAAUCUUAACGGCCACAAAAUGAUUUCAAAUGACCAAUUUUUGGAUGUACUUGUGUGGGGACGAAAAAUUUGAGUCACGACAUGUGGGACAUGUGGGCUAUGCAAUUUCAAGAGGAGCUAUCAUUAAUGUGCUCCAUUAUUGAAGCUAAAUGUCUGGAUAAGAAUUUUUUUGCCACUUUCAACAGUUUUAAGGCCAUAGAUACAAUUUGUUAGUGCCAUAUCAUCCGGAAGCCCCAAGACACCAAUAUACUCAACCUUAGAUAUAUUUAUACACUCUUAUCAAGCCUACUUCCAAGUUGAAUAACUGGUGAAAUCAAGUCAAUACAAUAAUGUCCAUCCAUUUCCAUGUCUCCACACUAUUUCUCCUUCCUCUAGUCUUACUACCGUCUGGAUCCAUUGCCAUCACAGGCCAUGCAUUUUCAAUCGAAGAAGCAACUGUCCAUGACUUCCAUAUGGCUUUCGAACAAAACAAACUCACCUCAAGGCAGCUGGUUGAGUUCUACCUGGGCAAGAUUCACAAACUCAACCCAAUUCUUCGUGGGGUAAUAGAGGUGAACCCAGAUGCACUCCUCCAAGCUGAUAAGGCCGACAGGGAGAGGAAGGCUAAGUUACCUGGGUCGCUGCUGGGGCUGCACGGCAUUCCUAUAUAUUCUGCUUAAGGAUAAUAUUGCAACCAAGGACAAGAUGAACACAACAGCAGGAUCAUUUGCAUUGCUUAAAUCAGUGGUGCCAAGGGAUGCAGGCGUGGUGAGGAAGUUGAGGAAGGCUGGAGCUAUCAUACUGGGAAAGGCUAGCCUCAGCGAGUGGGCUGCUUUUCGUGCUACUGCUACUCCUUCGGGCUGGUGUGCUAGAACUGGCCAAGGUAAGGUAAGUUGUGAUCCAAAACUCAAAUUUUCCGACGGUAGUUAGCUUACAUUUUGGUUCUCAUCCUCCCCGGUAAAGAUAUGAACAGAUAUAGGCAGAUGGAAAUUAUACCCAAUAAUUUUUUAAUCAAAUUCUUAGAAGGGGAAAAGCUUUUCUGUUUAAGGAGAAUUUGUGUACUCGUUGGAAAUUUCUGCUGUUUUGCAUUUAUCCUGAGAAGUUUGUGUUUGUUUGUCAGGAAAAGCAGAGUUACUCUAUGAUUUCUAUAGCAUAUUAAAUGUAGAAAGUGGAAUUUACUAAUUUCCAAUUUCUCAUUCCAGUCAGUGUAAGUCUCCUCGUGAACUUGAACAUACACGCCAAAAAAGAUCAAAAAAAAAAAAAUUAGAAUCUGAAUACAUGAAUCUGCACUAUGAUGCUGCACGCCAAAAAAGAUAACGAGUUUAGACACGUUUGCCAAAGGAGUGAAAAGUGUGUGGAGCAUCUGGCCGGAGUCGCCAUUAAAAGGAAAAAAGCUUCUUUCCAUUUAGCAUUCACACUAUGGUUGUCAAAUGGGUUUCAGUCUGUCAUUAUGUCCUACAACAAUCAUUCACCAUCAGUGGGUGUACCAAAAGAUUCUUCCUAUCAAUCAUAUCUUUUUUAUCUGCCCACUCAAAUGUGUGGAAAUUUUAUUUUUUUAAGGGUCUAUUGAUUCUGCCCAACAUUCUGUUUCGAGUUGUCAUAUUUCUCUAGCAUUCUUGUGUUUCUAAUACUAAGUAUAUGGGAUAAGAGAUUGAACAAAAACAAGAAGCCUCAAACUACCGUUGAUUGCAAAAGGGAAGAAGAUUAAGGAUGAAAAUAGGACUACAAUGUGUUGCAUAAACAGUUUUAUGAAUCUUAAGCCUACGAUUUCAUUGGUGUGCAGAACCCUUAUGUUCUAUCAGCAACUCCCUGUGGCUCAAGUAGUGGAUCAGCUAUAUCAGUAGCAGCAAAUUUAGCGGCAGUGUCUCUAGGGACGGAGACUGAUGGAUCCAUCUUAUGUCCAUCCCACAUUAAUUCAGUAGUGGGCAUCAAACCAACACUUGGUCUCACCAGCCGAGCUGGCGUGGUUCCAAUCUCUCCUAGGCAGGACACUGUUGGGUAGGUGAUGCUUCAUCUUCCUAAAUCCAAAUAUGAAACUAUCAUCUGUUGAACAACCAAAGAUAGCAGACUGCUCAAACAUAUUUGAUGCAACAGGCCCAUCUGCAGGACAGUCUCCGAUGCUGUCGAGGUACUGGAUGUCAUUGUUGGUUUUGACUACAGGGAUGAAGCAACCAGGACAGCAUCCAAGUACAUACCACAAGGUGGCUAUAAGCAAUUUCUCAAUGCAAAUGGGCUCAAGGGGAAGAGAUUGGGGAUAGUGAGGAAUCCCUUCUAUAUGUUUGGGAAUGGCUCUGUCCUCCCUCAAGUUUUUGAGCAUCAUUUCCACACACUCAGGUAACAAAACCUGCUUUCUAAGUACAGUGCUUAAUACCCUAAUGACUCUAGCUUAAGGUGCUUGACUAAAUUAACAUAUUCUUAUUACAUCAUUCCACAAAGGCAAGGAGGUGCUAUUUUGGUAGAUCACCUGGAAAUAGCCAACAUUGAUGUUAUCUAUGGCUCCUCCGGAGAAUAUGCAGCAUUAGAGGCUGAGUUCAAAACAUCCUUGAAUGCUUACCUGAAAGAGCUGGUAGCAUCCCCAGUAAGAACUUUGGCUGAUGUGAUAGCCUUCAACAACAAAUUCUCACAUUUGGUUAGUACAUUCAGGAGAGGUUUUCAUUAUUUACUUGUUGUUCUAGAUUCCGCUAGGAUUGUUAAAACCACAUUCUGAAAAGAUGACUAAUUUAAUUACUUGGGUAACUGCAGGAAAAGAUAAAGGAGUAUGGACAAGAUAUCUUUCUGCAAGCCGAAGCCACAAAUGGGAUAAACAAGAAAACUUUGUUAAAAUUAGCGAGAUUGUCACGAAAUGGGUUUGAGAAGUUGAUGAAGGAGCAUAAGCUGGAUGCAUUGGUGACACCUGGUUCAGAUGUUAGAACUAUUCUUGCUAUUGGAGGAUUCCCUGGAAUUUCUGUUCCAGCUGGAUAUGACAGCGAAGGAGUACCAUUUGGCAUUUGUUUUGGGGGCCUAAAGGGCUCUGAGCCAAAGCUGAUCGAGAUUGCAUAUAGCUUCGAGCAAGCAACUAAGAUUAGGAAGCCACCUUCAUUUAAACCUUGAAGGUUUAGAACAACUCCUAUCAGAGCUGUACUACAUAUAUCAGUAUCAAGAACUCUUCACUCUAGAUAGUAAUCCUGCACUAGAAAGGAUGUUAUAAUAAACUGCUCAAUGUUUUGAAUAAACUAAGAUGAUAUGGAUGUUGGUUUUCUCCAAAUCAUCUAAAUUAUGAAGUUUCCCUCUACCAUUUACUGUUGUGAUUGGUGUCAUUACAGUGCACUGUCCUCUGAAUAACCACUCAUUUAUCUGUAAUGAAACAUGCAGAAUUCAUACAUAUAUCCUAUGAUCAAUGUAGAGAUACAUGAGCAAAAAGGACUAGAUAAAAAUGUAAAACGGGUAUCAAAACUAAGGUAAAAGUAGAUGCAGAUUUGAUUAUUCUUAAGUUGGUUUACACAACUUUUAACAGCAGCCAGCACUGAAAUUAUUUGUAGUUGCUAAUUUCAGAUGUCCUUUUAUGGGCCAAAAAGUUUCAUUAGCCUUUUAUGGGGCAAAAAAUUAGAAUGUCCAUUAAGUUAACAAUGAACAUCCAUUCGUAAGUCUUCCGACUUUUUAUCCUUUCUUCUAACCUUAUGACUAGCAGUAUCCAUCACCAUCACAGGCCAUACAUUCUCAAUCAAAGAAGCAACUCUCCAUGUUUUCCAUAAGGCUUUCAAACAAAAUAAACUCAAUUCAAGGCAGCUGGUUGAGUUCUACAUUAGUGAAAUUCACAAACUGAACCCAAUCCUUCAUGGGGGUAGUAGAGGUGAACCCGGACGCACUCCUCCAAGCAGAUAAAGCUGACAGGGAGCAAAAGGCUAGGUCACCUGCCUUGUUGCUUGGGAUGCAGGUGUGCUGAGGAGGUUAAGGCUUGGGCUAUAUAGUGAGGAAUCUCUUCUUUACGUCGAGUGGGGAAGUAACCCAGCCUAACCCCAAUUGAUUUUGAUUAUAAAUCAAGUCUUCCUCUAGAAGUGUAUGCAGUAGCAUCUUCUUUUCAUAUAUGUUCUUCUAGUGACAAAUGUUGAAUCCAUGACGAACAAGGACAUGAAAAAACAGAAUCACACCUAUAGAAGGAAAAGCUAAAAAAUGUUGUAGAUCAAUUAAUCAUAAGGUGGCUAAUCACAACUUCUGAAGGCCACCAAAUGACUUCUAAUGACCAAUUUUCAGAUGUGCUUCGGUGGGAGCGAAAAAGUUCAAUCAUGACAUAGGUAUAAUUUGUCUAGAUGAGUAUUUGGCUUACCUCUUUCAAAAGCUUUAAGGCCACUAAUAUAAUUUGUUCAUAUCAUAUCAUCCCAAAGCCCUUAGAAACUAAGGUGUGUUUGAUGACUAUUUUUAAGAAUAAUUUUCUAUUAUUUAAAAUAACAAAAAUAGGAAAACAUGUUUGAGAAUCAGAAAACAAAAAAUAUGGUAUUUUUAGAAAAUACUUUUAAAUUAUUUUCAAUUAUUUUCACUUAUUUUUUUGGACCAUAUUAAAAAAUAAUUUUAUAAAUACGAAGAACAAUUAAAAAUAAAACUCUAUAUAUAGAAUUUAUUUUAAAAAUAUAAAAAACAAGUUAAGCAUAUUUUAUAUUACUUAAUGAACUUUUACUUCACAAAAUAUCAAAAUAUAAACCCUUUUUUAGAAUUAUUUUUCGAAAACACUUCUCACAGAAGAUCAUCGUGUACUCCAUAUAUAUACACGCACUGUCAUCCAGCCUACUUUCAAAUUGAACAACUGGUGAAAUCAAAUCAAUACACAAUGUCCAUCCAUUCCACUAUCUCCACAGUAUUUUUCCUCCUUCCAGCCUUAGUUCUAUCUGGAUCUGCUGCCAUCACAGGCCCUGAAUUCUCAAUCAAAGAAGCGACUGUCCAUGACUUCCGUAUGGCUUUCAAACAAAACAAACUCACCUCAAGGUAGAUGGUUAGGUUCUACCUGGGUGAAAUGCACAAACUCGACCCAAUUCUUCAUGGGGUAAUAGAGGUGAACCCAGAUGCACUCCUCCAAGCCGACAAGGCUGACAGGGACAGGAAGGCUAAGUUACCUGGAUCACUGCUGGGGCUACAUGGCAUUCAUAUUCUGCUUAAGGAUAAUAAUGCAACCAAGGACAAGAUGAACACAACAGCUGGGUCAUUUGCACUGCUUAAAUCAGUCGUUGUCUACGGAUGCAGGCGUGGUGAGGAAGUUGAGGAAGGUUGGGGCUAUCAUACUGGGAAAGGCUAGCCUGAGUGAGUGGGCUGGUUCACGCUUUGCUACUCCUUAUGGCUGGUGUGCCAGAGCUGGCCAAGGUCGGGUAAAUUAGGAUCCAAAACUCGAUUUUUCUGAUGGUUGUUAGCUUACAUUUUGGUUCUCGUCCUGCCCAGAAAAGUCCUGUAAACAUGAACAGAUAUAGGAGGAUGGAAAUUAUACCCAAUUAUUUUCAAUCAAAUUCUGAGAAGGGACAAAGCUUUUCUGUAUGCGUAGAACUUGUGUCCUCCUGGGAAAUUUCUGUUGUCAGGGAAGCACAUUUUCUCUUUGAUAUCUAGCACAUUAAAUUGAAGAAAAUGGAAUGUACUCAUUUCCAGUUUCUCAAUCUAGACAGAGUAAGAGUCCCCGUGAAUUUGAACACUUGAAUCUGUACUUAUGUAGCUACACGCCAAAAAGGAUGUAACAUUUUAGAAUCUGACCACGUGAGUCUGCACUAUGAUGCUGCAUGCCAAAGAAGGAAAAAAACAAAUCUUAGACGUAUUUGCCAAAGGAGAAGGUGAAAAGGAGGUGUGAAUUGAAACCCACUUUUUAGAUUAAGAAUGGACCCAGCAAGAUAGUGGAAAAUGCGUGGAGCAUUUGGUCAGGGUCACCAUUAGAGAAGCAAUAAAGCUUCCUUCCAGUGAUCAUUCACAGUAAGGUUUUCAAAUAGGUUUCAAUCUGCAAUUGAUUUGUCCUGCAUCAAUAACUCACCAUCAGUGGAAGAACCAAGCCACUCGUCAUAUGAAUCGUAUCUCUUCUUGAUCUGCCCCACUCAAAUGUGCUCACUGAUUCUGUCUAACAAUCUGUUUUACGAUAUAUGUUUCUUGCAUAACAACAUAUAACAGUUGUAUCGUGUUGCAUAAACGGUUUUAUAACUCUGAAAUAUAUGAUUUCAAUGGUGUGCAGAACCCUUAUGUUCUGUCAGAAACUCCUUGUGGCUCAAGUAGUGGAUCAGCUAUAUCAGUAGCAGCAAAUUUGGCAGCAGUGUCUCUAGGGACGGAGACUGAUGGAUCCAUCUUAUAUCCAUCCCACAUUAAUUCAGUAGUGGGCAUCAAACCAAUGUUUGUUUUUUGGCUGAAUAAAAAAAGCCAAAAUAUUUAGUUUUUUCUAUUUAACUAAAAGUAACUCAUUGAUAUCAACUAACAUAAUUAAAUUAAAUUUAUUGAUAAUAAGUUCACUUUAAUUGUAUUGAUUAAUAUCAACGAGGUACUUUUAACUUAAUAGGAAAAACCAAAUAUUUUGGUUUUUUCUAUUCAACCAAAAAACAAACACUACCACUACUGUCUCACCAACCGAGCUGGUGUGGUUCCAAUCUCUCCUAGGCAGGACACUGUUGGGUAGGUGAUGCUUCAUCUUCCUAAAUCCAAAUAUGAAACUAUCAUCUGUUGAGCAAUCAAAGAGACCAGACUGCUCCAUCUGAUUGCCAAACAGAAAAGGGAGAAAUGACGAUGAAAAGUUGGGAUCAUACAACUAUUUAAGAUUUCAAAUGAUGAUUUUCAGUAGUAAAUUCUGUAUUUCCUCUCUUCAUCCACGAGCCAAUCAAGCAUCAAUGAAUGUAACUGGAUUCUGUUGCAUACAAUUCAAGAUCUUCACAUGCUUCUGUUAAUUAGUAGGUUUUGGUAUAAAUCUGCUUGCUUUUGAAUCAUCAACAUAUGCUUCACUACUUGGUUUUUGACUGGAGAAACUUUGUAGUUUUGUUAUAUCCACUGGUAUCAGAACACAAUGGUGUUAAUUCUAGUAAGGACUCUUAACAUGUUGGAUGCAACAGGCCCAUCUGUAGGACAGUCUCCGAUGCUGUAGAGGUACUGGAUGUCAUUGUAGGUUUUGAGAAGAGGGAUGAAGCAACCAGGACAGCAUCCAAGUACAUACCACUAUAUGCAAUUUCUCAAUGCCAAUGGGCUAGCUCAAGGGGAAGAGAUUGGGGAUAGUAAGGAAUCCCUUCUAUAUGUUUGAGAAUGGCUGUGUCCUGACUAAAGUUUUUGAGCAUCAUUUCCACACACUAAGGUACUAAAACCUGCUUUCUAAGUACAGUGCUUAAUGGCCUAAUGACUCUAGAUUAAGGAGCUGGCCCUAAUUUAACCUAUUGUUAUUACAUCAUGCUACAGGGCAAGGAGGUGCUAUUUUGGUAGACCACCUGGAAAUAGCCAACAUUGAUGUUAUAUUUGGCUCCUCCAGAGAAGAAGCAACAUUAGAGGCGGAGUUCAAAAUAUCCUUGAAUGCUUACCUGAAAGAGCUGGUAGCAUCCCCAGUAAGAACUUUGGCUGAUGUGAUCGCCUUCAACAACAAAUUCUCACAUUUGGUAAAUACAAUCAGAAGGGGUUUUCAUAAUUUAUUUGAUGUUCUAGAUUCAAAUAAAGAUUGUCAAAAUCACAUUCUGGAAAGAUGACCAAUUUUCUUGGGCAACUUCAGGAGAAAAUCAAAGAAUAUGGACAAGACAGCUUUCUGCGAGCCGAAGCCACAAAAGGAAUAAGCAAGAAAACUUUGUUAAAAUUAGCAAGAUUGUCAAGAAAUGGAUUCAAGAAGUUGAUGAAUGAGCAUAAGCUGGAUGCAUUGGUGACUCCUGGUGCAGAUGUUUUGGAGGAUUCCCCGGAAUUACUGUUCCAGCUGGAUAUGAUAGCGAAGGAGUGCCAUUUGGCAUUUGUUUAAUUUGGGGGCCUAAAGGGCUCUGAGCCAAAGCUGAUCGAGAUUGCAUAUAGCUUCGAGCAAGCAACUAAGAUUAGGAAGCCGCCUUCAUUUAAACCUUGAAGGGCUCCUUGCAGAGUUCUACUCCAUGUAUCAGGAUCAAGAACUCUUCUCUCUAGCUGGCGAUCGUGCACUAGCAAGGAUGUUAGUAUAAACUUUUUAAGGUUUUGAAUAAACUAAGAUGAUAUGGAGGCUGGUUUCCUGGAAAUCAUCUAAAUUAUGAAGUUCCCCUCUACCAUUUACUGGUGUGUUUGGUACCAUUAGAGUGCACUGCCCUCUGGCUAACCACUCAUUUGUCUGCACUGAAUCAUGCAGAGUUCAUACAUGUAUCCUAUGAUCAAUGUAUAGAAACAUGAGCAACAAGGACACGAUCAAAAUGGAAAAACACGUAUAUCACACAAGUUUGUUUUUUCACAUAUCCUAGAUUUCAAUUUCAUCUUUCAAACAAAAUCUUUCCAAUAUUCUACACAAAUAUUUCUCUUUCAUUCAUAUAAAUGAUAUAAUCAACAAAUAACUACUAAAUUUUUUUCUAGCAUUAUUUCCACUAAUAAUCAACAACAAAAUUCACAUAAUCACCCAUAAGUUAAAACAUAAAACAUAAGUAGAUGCAAAAUAUCAUGGAAAUAAGUGGGUAUUGCUUACAAAAGUAAUACUCGCUGAUUUUUGGAACAAACCACCCUCCUAAAAUCCAAAAAUUCACCCAUUAAAUUCAAAAUCCGACUCCAUAGCUAUGUUUACCUCGACAAAGUAAGCACGAAAAUAUGAGAAAUGGCAAAAGGCAUUUAUGUCCAAAAUAGGUGUUUUUCAAGUAAAAAUAUGAGAAAUGUUAAAUUCACAAAUUUAGAUAUUAUUUCAUCCUUUUAACUAAUUAAUUAUUUUUUCAUUUUUCCUCUUCGUUUAUUCUUUUCCUUCUUUCUUUUUUAUAUUUCCAAUCUCUACAAUUAAAUCUCUACAUUACUUAUCCAAUUUAUUUUAAUCUCAAAUCCACAUGUAUAAUUUUCUGAUUUCUCUCAAAUGAAUUUUAUUUUAUUUUAUUUAUAUUUUUAUCUUUCAUUUAUUAUUCACAAAUUAAAUUUAGAUCCUAAAUAAAUAUAUCUUACAAUUUUACUAGAUUAAUUAAAUUUCAUAUUUGCCAAUGUAAUCUUCUAUUUUUCAAAUAUUUCAACCUUACCCAAUUAUCCACCGACCAUUUAUUAUUUAAUCAUUUAAUUUAUAACCAAUAAAUUCUUAACCCUAGUAACUAAUGUACUCAACCUUAUAUAUAUAUACGCACACCCUCUCAUCCAGCCUACAUCCAAAUUGAAUAACUGGUGAAAUCAGGUCAAUACAACAAUGUCCAUCCAUUCCCAUAUCUUCACACUAUUUCUCCUUCUUCUUGCCUUACUACUAUCUGCAUCCAUACCCAUCACAGGCCAUGAAUUCUCAAUCAAAGAAGCAACUGUCCACGACUUUCGCAUGGCUUUCCAACAAAACAAACUCACCUCACGGAAGCUUGUUAGGUUCUACCUGGGUGAAAUUCACAAACUCAACCCAAUUCUUCGUGGGGUGAUAGAGGUGAACCCAGAUGCACUCCUCCAAGCAGAUAAGGCUGACAAAGAGAAGAAGGCUAAGUCACUUCGGUCGCUGGAGGGGCUGCAUGGCAUUCCUAUUCUGCUUAAGGAUAAUAUUGCAACCAAGGACAAGAUGAACACAACAGCUGGGUCAUUUGCACUGCUUAAAUCGGUGGUGCCAAGGGAUGCAGGCGUGGUGAGGAAGUUGAGGAAGGCUGGGGCUAUCAUACUGGGAAAGGCUAGCCUGAGUGAGUGGACUGGUUUGCGCUUUGUUUUUCCUUAUGGCUGGUGUGCCAGAACUGGCCAAGGUCGGGUAAGUUAGGAUCCAAAACUCGAUUUUUCUGAUGGUUUUAAGCUUACAUUUUGGUUCUCAUCCUCCCCAGAAAAGUCCAGCACACAUGAACAGAUAUAGCUGGAUGGAAAUUAUUUUCAAUUAUUUCAAUCAAAUUCUCAGAAGGGGAAAAGAUUUUCUGUCUGAGUAGAACUUGUGUCCUCCUGGGAAAUUUCUAUUGCUUUGCAUUUAUGUUUGUGUUUGGUUGUCAGGGAAAGCAGGCUAACUCUUUGAUCUCUAGCAUAUUAAAAUGUAGAAAAUGGAAUUUGUUAAUUUCCAGUUUCUCAUUCUAGUCAGAGUCAGUCCCCUCUUGAACUUUAACUCUUGAAUCUGUACUUAUUCUGCUACAUGCCAAAAAAUAUGAAAAAUUUUGGAAUCUGAACACGUGAGUCUGCACUAUGAUGCUUUAUGCCAAAAGGGAAAAAAACAAAUCGUAGACAUGUUUGCCAAAGGAGAAGGUGAAAAGGAGGUGUGGAUUGAAACCCACUUUCCAGUGAGCAUUCACACUGGUUUUUAAAUAGGUUUCAAUCGCAUAAACAGUUUUAUAACUCUGAAGUAUAUGGCUUCAAUGAUGUGCAGAACCCUUAUGUUCUGUCAGCAACUCCUUGUGGGUCAAGUAGUGGAUCAGCUAUAUCAGUAGCAGCAAAUUUAGCAGCAGUUUCAUUAGGGACGGAAACUAUGGGAUCCAUCUUAUGUCCAUCCCAUUUUAAUUCAGUAGUGGGCAUCAAACCAACAGUAGGUCUCACCAGCCGAGCUGGGGUGGUUCCAAUCUCUCCCAGGCAGGACACUGUUGGGUAGGUGAUGUUUCAUCUUCCUAAAUACAAAUUUGAAACCCCCAUCUGUUGGGCAGACUGCUCAAACAAUUUGAUGCAACAGGCCCAUCUGCAGGACAGUCUCCGACGCUGUAGAGGUACUGGAUGUCAUUGUAGGUUUUGACAAGAGGGAUAAAGCAACCAGGACAGCAUCCAAGUACAUACCAAGGGGUGGCUACAAGCAAUUUCUCAAUGCAAAUGGGCUCAAGGGGAAGAGAUUAGGAAUAGUGAGGAAUCCUCCCUAUAUGUUUGAGAAUGUCUCUGUCCAGCCUCAAGUUUUUGAGCAUCAUUUCCACACACUAAGGUAACAAACUAUCUAAGUACAGUGCUUAAUGCCCUAAUGAUUCUUACAACCUAAACUAACCUAUUGUCAUUUCAUCAUGCUACAAGGCAAGGAGGUGCGGUUUUGGUAGACCACCUGAAAAUAGCAAACAUCGAUGUUUUCUUUGGCUCCACCGGAGUAGAAGCACUAGAGGCUGAGUUAAAAAUAUCCUUGAAUGCUUACCUGAAAGAGCUGGUAGCAUCCCCAGUAAGAACUUUGGCUGAUGUGAUAGCCUUCAACAACAAAUUCUCACAUUU